rnacentral:lncRNA from 1 species
CCCAUUUCUCACUUUCCCAACCUCGCCUGAAAGAGAGAGAGAACUCACAAAUCUCCAUCGCAAAUCUCCACUCCAUCUCCAUCUCCAUCUCCAUCUCACUCGUUGCUCAAUCACAAAACCUCAGAACCCUCAGAAUCACAAAACCUAACUCUCAAAAUCACAAAAUCCCCAAUUGGUUCUCACCCAAAACCCUCAGAAUCACAAAACCUAACUCUCAAAAUCACAAUCGGUUCUCACCAAAAACCCUCAGAAUCAGUUCUCACUCAAUCAUGCACUCACUCAAUCACAAUCGGAACUCAAUCGGCGCAAUCGGAACUCACUCACUCAAUCAUAACUGAAAUGGUGCUCAAAAGGUGCUCACUCACUCGUUGUUCUCAAUCCUUCUCAUUAUUUUAGCAUCUGAUUAUUUUAGCAUCGAUUUGGACUGGGAAUUUGGGGUUUCAUUUGAUGUUUGGUGGGGCUGGCUGUUGUGUUUCUUAGUUUUUUUUUUUUUGUUAAUUUGGG